rnacentral:rRNA from 1 species
GGGUUCGGAAUAACAGUGAGAAAUUACUGCUAAUACCGGAUGAUGUCUUCGGACCAAAGAUUUAUCGCCCAGGGAUGAGCCCGCGUAGGAUUAGGUAGUUGGUGGGGUAAUGGCCUACCAAGCCGACGAUCCUUAGCUGGUCUGAGAGGAUGAUCAGCCACACUGGGACUGAGACACGGCCCAGACUCCUACGGGAGGCAGCAGUGGGGAAUAUUGGACAAUGGGCGAAAGCCUGAUCCAGCAAUGCCGCGUGAGUGAUGAAGGCCUUAGGGUUGUAAAGCUCUUUUACCAGGGAUGAUAAUGACAGUACCUGGAGAAUAAGCUCCGGCUAACUCCGUGCCAGCAGCCGCGGUAAUACGGAGGGAGCUAGCGUUGUUCGGAAUUACUGGGCGUAAAGCGCGCGUAGGCGGUUACUCAAGUCAGAGGUGAAAGCCCGGGGCUCAACCCCGGAACUGCCUUUGAAACUAGGUGACUAGAAUCUUGGAGAGGUCAGUGGAAUUCCGAGUGUAGAGGUGAAAUUCGUAGAUAUUCGGAAGAACACCAGUGGCGAAGGCGACUGACUGGACAAGUAUUGACGCUGAGGUGCGAAAGCGUGGG